rnacentral:rRNA from 1 species
UACGGGGGGGCAAGCGUUGUUCGGAAUUACUGGGCGUAAAGGGCUCGUAGGCGGCCAACUAAGUCAGACGUGAAAUCCCUCGGCUUAACCGGGGAACUGCGUCUGAUACUGGAUGGCUUGAGUUCGGGAGAGGGAUGUGGAAUUCCAGGUGUAGCGGUGAAAUGCGUAGAUAUCUGGAGGAACACCGGUGGCGAAGGCGGCAUCCUGGACCGACACUGACGCUGAUGAGCGAAAGCCAGGGGAGCAAACGGG